rnacentral:rRNA from 1 species
GACAGAGGGUGCAACCGUUGCUCGGAAUUACUGGGCGUAAAGCGCGUGUAGGCGGACAAGCAAGUCAGGUGUGAAAUCCCUGGGCUCAACCCAGGAACUGCAUUUGAAACUGCAUGUCUAGAGUGUCGGAGAGGGAAGCGGAAUUCCUGGUGUAGAGGUGAAAUUCGUAGAUAUCAGGAGGAACACCGGUGGCGAAGGCGGCUUCCUGGACGAUUACUGACGCUGAGACGCGAAAGCGUGGGGAGCAAACAGG